AUGUUGCUGCUUUCUUCAUUUGUUCUCCUUUCAGUCCUUAUUGGUGUCAGUGGUGGAGAUGACAUUAGUCCCACCAAUCCUGAGGUGUUUGUUGAGGAGGGUGAUACUGUCAUAUUAUCCUGUCGCUACACUGGCUCAGUAAACAAUCUCCAGUGGUAUCGCCAGUAUCCCAGGUCUAAACCAGAGUUCCUGAUUCUCAUCACUAAGUCAGGAUAUGUCCAGAAACCUGUCCCCCCUCGCAUGUCAGCUCAGGUCCAUACUGACAGUGUGGAUCUGGAGAUCUCCUCUGCUGAAGAGACAGACUCUGCUCUGUACUACUGUGCCCUGCAGCCCACAGUGACAGGAAACCCUGAAGCACUGCCAGGUAAAAUGAGUGAAGAGAAAAGCCAAGUGGAUCUGAUGAUCUCCUCAGCUGAAGUGACAGACUCUGCUCUGUACUACUGUGCUGUG